CCGGUCUCAGCUUAGUAAGCCAUGUCAAAACAAUCCAGCAGCUGAUUUGUUUCUUCGUGCACGACGCUGCGAGUAGGCCAUGUUUUUUGUUUGUGCGACUGGUGUCGGCGUGACGGCGUGGUGAUGUUUGCCUUGUGUGCUGUGUCGAGGUUGCGGUGAUGCAACGCGGCAUACGGAAACAUUGCGUCGAGUGUCUAAUGGCGCUGAAAGUGCCCGAGCAGACUGCGCUGGGGAAUGCCAGCAAGCGGGUGCCGGGAGGCCUAGGAUUUGUCGCCUUCCGAUGUGCUCCCUACUGACACCGAAAAUGUUCUGCCAAGAUCUGCGCAGUGGUUUCAUUGGGAUUCCGGACACCAUCUCAUUUGACAGUUUCACAGGUGCUGAUACUGCUGUACCGACAUGCGCAGAACUUGAUGACGGCGAGAUCAUUCGUCAGGUUUCUGCUGCUCCGCCGGACGAUGACUCCGAGUCGGAAGAUGACGCACCAUGUGCUACGCUGCCGUCGCUUGCGGAGCGUGCACAAGCAGUGACUGUGCUUUCAGCCGCCUAUAGUGACCGUACGACCCUCUCCGAGAUUCAGGCUUAUCUGAUUGCGCGUAAACGGGACAGCGUGCAACGGCGCACUCACGAUUUCUUCAAGCCUACUGCCGAGCCCGAAUAAGUGCGUGGAAAUAAAGGAUUUCAUUUUUUUUUCUUAA
rnacentral:lncRNA from 1 species